AUUGAACGCUGGCGGCAGGCCUAACACAUGCAAGUCGAGCGGAUGAGAGGAGCUUGCUCUUUGAUUCAGCGGCGGACGGGUGAGUAAUGCCUAGGAAUCUGCCUGGUAGUGGGGGGCAACGUUUCGAAAGGAACGCUAAUACCGCAUACGUCCUACGGGAGAAAGUGGGGGAUCUUCGGACCUCACGCUAUCAGAUGAGCCUAGGUCGGAUUAGCUAGUUGGUGAGGUAAUGGCUCACCAAGGCGACGGUCCGUAACUGGUCUGAGAGGAUGAUCAGUCACACUGGAACUGAGACACGGUCCAGACUCCUACGGGAGGCAGCAGUGGGGAAUAUUGGACAAUGGGCGCAAGCCUGAUCCAGCCAUGCCGCGUGUGUGAAGAAGGUCUUCGGAUUGUAAAGCACUUUAAGUUGGGAGGAAGGGCAGUAACUUAAUACGUUGCUGUUUUGACGUUACCGACAGGAUAAGCACCGGCUAACUCUGUGCCAGCAGCCGCCGCAGUAA
rnacentral:rRNA from 1 species